AACUAGCCCCGAUAGUAGCGACAUCCUUUUCUUUUUUUUCUUUAAAAAAAGAAAAGAUAUAGCGGAUAGCGGGAUUAGCU
rnacentral:sRNA from 1 species